rnacentral:rRNA from 1 species
AGAGUUUGAUCAUGGCUCAGGACGAACGCUGGCGGCGUGCCUAAUACAUGCAAGUCGAACGAACUCUGGUAUUGAUUGGUGCUUGCAUCAUGAUUUACAUUUGAGUGAGUGGCGAACUGGUGAGUAACACGUGGGAAACCUGCCCAGAAGCGGGGGAUACUCACCUGGAAACAGAUGCUAAUACCGCAUAACAACUUGGACCGCAUGGUCCGAGUUUGAAAGAUGGCUUCGGCUAUCACUUUUGGACUGGUCCCGCGGCGUAUUAGCUAGAUGGUGGGGUAACGGCUCACCAUGGCAAUGAUACGUAGCCGACCUGAGAGGGUAAUCGGCCACAUUGGGACAUGAGACACGGCCCAAACUCCUACGGGAGGCAGCAGUAGGGAAUCUUCCACAAUGGACGAAAGUCUGAUGGAGCAACGCCGCGUGAGUGAAGAAGGGUUUCGGCUCGUAAAACUCUGUUGUUAAAGAAGAACAUAUCUGAGAGUAACUGUUCAGGUAUUGACGGUAUUUAACCAGAAAGCCACGGCUAACUACGUGCCAGCAGCCGCGGUAAUACGUAGGUGGCAAGCGUUGUCCGGAUUUAUUGGGCGUAAAGCGAGCGCAGGCGGUUUUUUAAGUCUGAUGUGAAAGCCUUCGGCUCAACCGAAGAAGUGCAUCGGAAACUGGGAAACUUGAGUGCAGAAGAGGACAGUGGAACUCCAUGUGUAGCGGUGAAAUGCGUAGAUAUAUGGAAGAACACCAGUGGCGAAGGCGGCUGUCUGGUCUGUAACUGACGCUGAGGCUCGAAAGUAUGGGUAGCAAACAGGAUUAGAUACCCUGGUAGUCCAUACCGUAAACGAUGAAUGCUAAGUGUUGGAGGGUUUCCGCCCUUCAGUGCUGCAGCUAACGCAUUAAGCAUUCCGCCUGGGGAGUACGGCCGCAAGGCUGAAACUCAAAGGAAUUGACGGGGGCCCGCACAAGCGGUGGAGCAUGUGGUUUAAUUCGAAGCUACGCGAAGAACCUUACCAGGUCUUGACAUACUAUGCAAAUCUAAGAGAUUGACGUCCCUUCGGGGACAUGGAUACAGGUGGUGCAUGGUUGUCGUCAGCUCGUGUCGUGAGAUGUUGGGUUAAGUCCCGCAACGAGCGCAACCCUUAUUAUCAGUUGCCAGCAUUAAGUUGGGCACUCUGGUGAGACUGCCGGUGACAAACCGGAGGAAGGUGGGGAUGACGUCAAUCAUAUGCCCCUUAUGACCUGGGCUACACACGUGCUACAAUGGAUGGUACAACGAGUUGCGAACUCGCGAGAGUAAGCUAAUCUCUUAAAGCCAUUCUCAGUUCGGAUUGUAGGCUGCAACUCGCCUACAUGAAGUCGGAAUCGCUAGUAAUCGCGGAUCAGCAUGCCGCGGUGAAUACGUUCCCGGGCCUUGUACACACCGCCCGUCACACCAUGAGAGUUUGUAACACCCAAAGUCGGUGGGGUAACCUUUUAGGAACCAGCCGCCUAAGGUGGGACAGAUGAUUAGGGUGAAGUCGUAACAAGGUAGCCGUAGGAGAACCUGCGGUUG